CUCCCAGGCUAGCCUCUAUCAUCAGUUCUGGAGGAGUCUGUCUCCCUAUAAAAUACUACAACAGGAGACAACAGCCAGCCCUUGCUGGGCUCUGGCUUCCGGAUGAAUUGAGUUCCACCUCCUCGAACGUUCUUGGAACCGUUUCUAAAGCUCUUGGAUUUCCCGAGUGAUCAGUGUCUUAUCUGUGAGCCCUUGGAUCACACCUGAAUUUACACGAACGAUGCACCUCAUGCUCAGCCGGCUACUCAAGACUCUUCAUGGCUUCCCAACUCCUUAAAGUAAAACCCAAAGCUCUUGCUGUGACCUUCAUGGCCCUGUGAGAUCUGGCCCCAGCUGUCCCGGGAUCUCAGCGCCUGCUGCUGUCCCUGUUCUCAGGGUCUCAGUCACACUGGCGUCCUCACUGCUCUUAUCAAGCCCAUCACUGCUGCCUCAGGGCCAUUGCAUUUACUGUGGCCUGCCUGGGUACCCUUCCCACAGCCCCAUAGUCCGUGGGCCACCCGGUUGCCUCGUUCAGGGCUCUGCUUCAAAGCAAGCCAACUGGGAAGACCUUUCCUGACUCUGUCUAAAAUAACAUUUUCCCUCUUCCCUACAGCAUUUCCUAUUCUCUUUUCCCUGUUUUUGUUUCUUCACAGCAUUUAUUAUAACCUGACUUUUUUUUUUUGGUGGUAAAAUGUACAUAACAUGAAAUUUACCAUUUUUAAGUGUAUAAUUUGGUGCAUUAAGUACCUUCACGUUGUUGUGUAAUGAUCACCACCAUCCAUUCCCAGAAUGUUUUCAUCUUCCCCAGUUGAAGCUCUACACCCAUUAAACUCUCCGUUCACCCCUCCCCCAGCCCCUGGCAAUCACUAUUCUACUUUCUGUCUCUAUGAAUCUGACUACUCAUAUA